rnacentral:hammerhead_ribozyme from 2 species
CGCCGAAACGUACCGGACAGGUACGUCUCUCAGAGGUGGCCUCCUGAGACUGAUGAUGGCGGGCGCUG